UACAGAGGUCUCAAGCGUUGUUCGGAUUCAUUGGGCGUAAAGGGUGCGUAGGCGGCGCGGUAAGUCGGGUGUGAAAUCUCGGAGCUUAACUCCGAAACUGCAUUCGAUACUGCCGUGCUUGAGGACUGGAGAGGAGACUGGAAUUUACGGUGUAGCGGUGAAAAUGCGUAGAUAUUGGGAGGAACACCAGUGGCGAAGGCGGCUCACUGGACCGGUACUGACGCUGAUGCGCGAAAGCGUGGGGAGCAAACAGG
rnacentral:rRNA from 1 species